GAUUAGAUAGUCUAGUGGUAUAAGGAAGCACACCUAGAAAUUGAGGUCCCUGGUUUGAAUCCAGGUUUGAUCA
rnacentral:tRNA from 2 species